AGUGUGAUAGCUGGGUCAAAUGGUGGUUCCAUCCUUAGUUUUUCGAAGAAUCUCCAUACUGCUUUCCAGAGUGGUUGAACCAGUUUGCAGUCCUACCAGCAAU
rnacentral:pre_miRNA from 1 species